AUGGCUAUAUCACAUUGAAACACUGGUUCUCAUGUGAACACCAAAGUUAAGCAAUGUAGAGCCUGGUCUAAUCUAAUGGGUGACUGCUUGGGAAUACCAGGUGCUGUCAG